UCCCUCCCUCCUUCCCGUCUCCUCUCAUUCGGUCACCUUAUUCGUGGGCACCUCGACACAUAGGCCGUGGAAUGUAGGGAGUAGGGUGAUCUGAGAGAGAUGAGCUUCAAGCUUGUAACAAUUUCAGAGCGUACCACCUCAUGCCAUGUUCAUUUGUUUCAUGUUUGGGAUUUGUUGGCACCAGGUAAUUGAUCACGAUGGGAUUUGAGUAAAACAUUUGUCUGUCACUCUAAUUCGUAUUGUGGUUUGUCCCAUAUCCCUGUCAAUCCCUGUACACUUCAUUGAAGUUCGGUUAGUCAGGGAUUGAACAGAAUUCGUACAUGAAUACUGUUCAAAUGUUGCACUAAGUAAACAUUCAUCUUUGGAUUCAAUUUGUACAGGGAAAGCUUUAUAUAUCCAGGGAAUGUAGGUUAGGCAUCUCACUGAGUGAUCAUUCAUCUCUAAGUAUUUACAGGGAAUAUUUGAUACAAAUAUGCAGCGAAUUUAAUGUAAACAAGGCACAUCCACUCUUUGAGAUAUUAUAGUUGAAGUUCCCAAAAUACUCAAGAGCUCAGUACUGUAAAUAUUCAGAGAAACAAUUUUUUUAAUAUAAUCCCUUAUUGGCAUAUCCAUUGCGAAGCUAAUAACGUUAAAGUUCUAGUUUAAGUAUAUAGAGUACGUGUAUAUAUGGGAGUAAGUCAACACAAGUGAGCGUAAUCAGACUAACGACCCUAAUUUGCAACAUAAAUAGGAACACGUAUAUCAAUUACACUUCUAAGGUAAUAACGGAUUUAUGUCCAGGAAUGGAUCACAUCAAUUGUAAGCAUAAGGCAAAGAUUAUAUGCUUACAAAAAGUAUGUAAAAUAGUUUUUACAAAAUAUAACAGAAGUCUGCUGAACUAAAGGACGACUUUGAGAAUCUAUAUCAUGUAGUACUCUGAAUCCAGUGUUGAUUUUUUUAUCCAAAUCGGAAUAAGAAGGACAAGAUGAGAGAUGAUUACAUGAACGCCAUUCUCUUGUGUAAUGGGUGGUUCAUGCGCUAGCUAAGUGCCGACGACUGUGUGGUGCUGAUCUCCCUUGUUCGUUUCUUCCUUUUCAGUUUAGUGCAGCUAGCAAUUGAUUUUUUGAUUUCAUUCCUUCAUGUGGGGCUAGUUCCAUGUCGGCUUUUCGUGAUUUGGAGUUCAAAUGCAACAUGAAGCUUAGCAUAGUGCAUUCCAUUUGAAUUCUAGUCUUGCAGCGUGUUCUGUUUCUUUGUGGAUACAUGAUAAUUGAUGGCACCCGAACCUUGUUCUUUGAGGUACAGAAGAAAAAUGUUGCGUCAGUUCGAUCACAUACCACUAAUAACCAUAGUGGUUGCUUUCAGUUAUUUGAGCCAUUCCUGUAUGAAUGGCUCCAUUGCUAUUGUUUGGUUCCUUUACUAGCUAGGAGUUGUGGAUCUUUUCAUUUUGGUGAACAUUGAAUUCGCAUGCUAUUUUUUUAAGAUGGAUCCUUGUUAUUUGUGUAAGAGAGGCUCGGUGUAGUUAUCAAAUGAUGGUUGUGCUAAUAAGACUUUGUUUGUGUAGAUUUCUGAAUUUCUCUAGUCUAAUUUACACUGGUAAAAAGGCAGAGGGUGAACCUUUUGUAUUUGCCAAUCAAGUUGACCAAAUGUCCAAGUGUUCUACGCAGAUGACUAUGUUUAUCCAGGAUGGUCAAUUGUUUUAAAGAUGAAGCCUUGAGAUAAUAUUGAUAUGGGUUAAGAAUGGAAUGAUGUGGAAACAGAACCUUAUCAUGUUAGCAAAAUGAUGGCCAAAGGGCUAUUAUACCUAUACGAGUAAAAAGGGGGAGCCACGAAGCCGCGUCCCAGGUACCCCUCGCGUCGCCUCCCCUCGGGCGACGCCAGGGGCCCCAAAACCCUAGCCGCUAAAGAGUUUCUCCCCUUCCCCGUCCGCCGCUGCCGCCGGUGAGGGCCGCGGUGGCGGCGGGUCCUGUGCCUUAGUGCCAGGGCGGGCGGUAGCCGCGUAGUCCCAGUGAGGCGGAGGGGCCGUCGCGCGCGUGGAUGACGUGUGCGGCAGUCAGGGCGGCAUCCCUGCUGCACGGCGGCGUUCGUGGCCCUCAUGGCCAGCCGUGGUCGGAGGUUGGAUGGUGGGGGUGCAGCGCUCCAUCCAGCAAGGGCGGCGGCUGCGUGCAAGGGCUACAUCGAGGGCUGCGGAUCGUGCUACUGUAUGCGGUCUCACAAAACCAUCUCUGUGUGUGAACUUCUCCUGAAACUGCGCACAUGCAUAAAUGUGGAUCAACUGUUCCACAGCAGACAUACUCGACAACCCCCUCCUAUUUUUUAUGGUUUCGUGCAAUUUUUUCCAUUCCCUCCAUUCUCUCAAGCCAAUUGCGGCUAAUCUGGUUGGAAAAACUUAAGUACGCACGCUUCAUUACCAAAUAGUUUUUUUAAAAGGACAUAGACUAAACAUCAGAUCUCGCGAGGAGGUAACCGCGCCACCAAAAUCAGAAACCUCUCCCAUAUCAACACAGUUCCCUUCCUAAUCUCGUACUGGGUUCAUCGCAUGCCCGACGGCCGGUGGCGGAGGCAGCACCACGAUCUGAGCAAGCUAAAAUCUGAAGUAGUCAUGUUCACAUCUGAGGAGAUGGCUAUCAUAAGGUCAAGUGCCACCAUAUAGUCUCGAUCUCUGAAGAUAUCAGUAUGCAGAUUUGUCACGGACAAGAAUCAGCGUUGUUGAAUCCAAUGAACAAUAUAUGAUGGAAGAACCAAUCGAACAUCAUAAUUCUGCUGAAAAAGAUGUCAAAUCAUAUAAUGUCCAUGAAAGAACUACUAAUGACAAAUAAAUAUUCACAUAUUGUGUGAUGUUGAUGCGGAUGAAAAUGAAGAUGAAACUGAAGUAUUAUUGAAGAGCCCGAAAAACCAUAAUAUGACGUAGUUCUUGCUACAAUUAUAUGUUCUGAUCCUAAAUUUUAAACUUGACGGUGCUGGAAUUAGGAAUUACUUUUGGGCCGUGCAUGUCGAUAUGGAGAUAAAACACGGAUUGCAUGGACUUCAACCUUUAUUCAAGAGAUAACUGGAUGAGUAUGCACGUGUGUGGCAAGUACACUUCAAUCAUGAUGUUGAUGUUCUGGUUCAUGAUGAUGAUGGAUGCUUUCAUUUUUAGUUGUAGGGAUGUUGACGUUCAUGUUAGAUGUUGUUCCUUGAUCUACUAGUUUUAGUGAAGUUGUAGGAAUGUUGAUGGAUGCUUAGUUUAAGUUUCUUUGUCAAGAUAAUGGGUAGAUUAUGCAUCACAUCUGGAUGAUGUUUCUCCUGUAAUAUCCACUAUUGUAAUCCAACAUUUUUAUCUAAUAUAUCCUUUUUCCUCUUA